AGAGUUUGAUCAUGGCUCAGAUUGAACGCUGGCGGCAGGCCUAACACAUGCAAGUCGAGCGGUAGCACAGAGAGCUUGCUCUCGGGUGACGAGCGGCGGACGGGUGAGUAAUGUCUGGGAAACUGCCUGAUGGAGGGGGAUAACUACUGGAAACGGUAGCUAAUACCGCAUAAUGUCGCAAGACCAAAGUGGGGGACCUUCGGGCCUCAUGCCAUCAGAUGUGCCCAGAUGGGAUUAGCUAGUAGGUGAGGUAACGGCUCACCUAGGCGACGAUCCCUAGCUGGUCUGAGAGGAUGACCAGCCACACUGGAACUGAGACACGGUCCAGACUCCUACGGGAGGCAGCAGUGGGGAAUAUUGCACAAUGGGCGCAAGCCUGAUGCAGCCAUGCCGCGUGUGUGAAGAAGGCCUUCGGGUUGUAAAGCACUUUCAGCGGGGAGGAAGGCGNCGAUUGACGUUACCCGCAGAAGAAGCACCGGCUAACUCCGUGCCAGCAGCCGCGGUAAUACGGAGGGUGCAAGCGUUAAUCGGAAUUACUGGGCGUAAAGCGCACGCAGGCGGUCUGUCAAGUCGGAUGUGAAAUCCCCGGGCUCAACCUGGGAACUGCAUUCGAAACUGGCAGGCUAGAGUCUUGUAGAGGGGGGUAGAAUUCCAGGUGUAGCGGUGAAAUGCGUAGAGAUCUGGAGGAAUACCGGUGGCGAAGGCGGCCCCCUGGACAAAGACUGACGCUCAGGUGCGAAAGCGUGGGGAGCAAACAGGAUUAGAUACCCUGGUAGUCCACGCCGUAAACGAUGUCGAUUUGGAGGUUGUGCCCUUGAGGCGUGGCUUCCGGAGCUAACGCGUUAAAUCGACCGCCUGGGGAGUACGGCCGCAAGGUUAAAACUCAAAUGAAUUGACGGGGGCCCGCACAAGCGGUGGAGCAUGUGGUUUAAUUCGAUGCAACGCGAAGAACCUUACCUGGUCUUGACAUCCACAGAACUUNGGCCGGGAACUCAAAGGAGACUGCCAGUGAUAAACUGGAGGAAGGUGGGGAUGACGUCAAGUCAUCAUGGCCCUUACGACCAGGGCUACACACGUGCUACAAUGGCAUAUACAAAGAGAAGCGACCUCGCGAGAGCAAGCGGACCUCAUAAAGUAUGUCGUAGUCCGGAUUGGAGUCUGCAACUCGACUCCAUGAAGUCGGAAUCGCUAGUAAUCGUAGAUCAGAAUGCUACGGUGAAUACGUUCCCGGGCCUUGUACACACCGCCCGUCACACCAUGGGAGUGGGUUGCAAAAGAAGUAGGUAGCUUAACCUUCGGGAGGGCGCUUACCACUUUGUGAUUCAUGACUGGGGUGAAGUCGUAACAAGGUAACCGUAGGGGAACCUGCGGUUGGAUCACCU
rnacentral:rRNA from 1 species